GGUGACUGAACCAGAGUAGUGGUCUUAUGCAGUCAGAAUGGAAAAGGGAGCAUUGCUUUUUGUACGCCAUUGCUACAGUAAAGCGAGCAUAGGGUGGCUGAAGCAGCAGCUCUUGGGCAAAAGCCGCAUUUAAAUAUGAUUGCAGAAGAGGCCGCCGCUCAAACCGCCAGCAAAGCAAAGAGCGCUUACCUAGAACUGGCAGAGCAGCAGCAGCGAGCCGCUUCCAAACCGCAGGCUGGGUCUGGGGUAUUUCCUGCCCUAGAGGCAUAGGACUGGCUCCCCUCGAGCAGAAACAAUAAGAGAACAGCAAAUAGUCUCCUGGGGGACGCAGUAAAGAACGCAGUAAAGAAAAGAACCGGAGCAUUAACUCAGCUACUUGCCUUUUUUUUUUUUAAUCGCCCGCAGGCACGAAUUUAAAAAGAAGUUUACUUGCAGAGGGAAAGGUCAUUUCCUUCUCUUUACCAGCCCACAGUAAGACACAUCUUACAGUCAGUUCCUCCCAGAAGCAGCCACCACCAUCCAGGAGCCACCACCAGCACUCAGGUGGACGUCAUUCAAAUGAAGAGGAACUGAGAACUGACAUGGCUGCUGCAGCCACCCCCUCUUGCCCCUGGCUGCGGCGGUGCUGUUGCAGAGAAUAAAGGGACUCUAUGCCACUUAUGGAUCGGGCAGGAAAAGCGGCUGUUUCAGUUGGUUUGCAGGUGUUGCGUGCUGCCAGCAGGCCACAAAGUGUCUGUAAAACAACACGUGGGUGAACCAACACACGCCUUUGUGAAACGAGAAGCAGCAGUUAAUACUGAACAUUAUUAUGUGCCAUCUAGUCUAACGUGGCAACAGAGAAGCAUGUGAGAUUCUUUGGUGUUGCUUUCGCUAUUUGAAGAUUGAUUUAUUCUGCGACGUCUCUGAAAGAAAUAUGUCUGAUAUUGCAUAUAAUUUUCAGUUUUAUCACUCUACUGCUGUCUCAUGUGACAUUCUGGUCUACAGCAGUUAAAGAACACAGUAAUAUUGACUAGCUGCAGAAGCAAUAGUAAAAAUUGUACAUGACAUUAGAGGUACAGAAAUGAAAUGCACACAUCUCAAACCCGUUCGUUUUCUGAAACACACGGUUGGCAUCAGCACAUGUGCAAGAGAUCGCUGGCAUGUCAUCUUGCACUCCAAGCAAAACCCUGGUUACAGAGGAGUUUGUUCACUGUUGCUUUAGAGCUUACAUUAUUCAUCCUGUUGGAAAUCACAGCAGUGUUCCCCUUACAGUCUUACCAGUACAAUUAUAUGAACGCGAGAGUGCAAAAUCUUCUCAGAGGCCUGUUUUUGUAUCUUGGAACACUAAAUGCCUUGGUUACUGUUAUUUAGAGUUAAUGACAACAGCAAAAGUCAGGUGUAAGACUUGGAAGGCCAGCAAGUAUGUUUGCCUUCUAGCAUCUGGCUCACUAAGAAGGGAGUCACUGCUGAAGAUAUUAAAUACAAUAAGUUAGGUCACUGGCUAUGUAGUUACAUAGGAAAAACAGAUGAUAAUGAACCAGAGAGGACAAAAGCAGCAGAAAAUAAUCAGAGAUGGCAGAACUCUACGUUCGACCGAGGAUGAAGCCUCCCAUGUUUUUCAGGAACGGAGUCUUUAAUGAACAUUCUGUUACACUCUGGCUCAAACCGCACGCUUGGAUAGCAGGCCGGCUUCAGAAAGUGCAGGUGGGCAAAUCCCACGCCAGUCACCAUGCCGUGCCACCUGCUAGCUGAGCUGGUCCUCAGUGUAGGAAUUAUCUUCAGAACAGUGAGCCGAUUGCGGGUGAUUCUGUCCUGAUGCUUGGUUCUGGAGGAAAACCUGUGCCCGAGGAACUUCUGCUUUCUCCCAAGAUAUCCUGCUUUGUAAAGAACAGUGUAGCUCAAUUUGUCUACAUUUGAAGUUCAGAAACCAAAAGGGAGGGAGAGGAGAACAUCUUUUAAUAAGGGAAAAUGAAUAACUAAAGAAAGAAUGUAUUUAGGUAUAAUAUGUGAGGAGUAUCUUGCAGUCUGAGCUGUAACAUAAAAAUUACACAAAAUGCAUAAAACACAAAACAAACAAUAACCACCAUUAAAAGUGCAACUGCAGGUCCUGUAACAAACGAUACAGUUUUCUGAAGCUAUCUUCCAGGGUGACGUCUUACCCACAAGAAGGCUUUCGGAAUGGGACCUGCAGAAGACAUCCAUCUGUGAGGUUUUAGAAGAAACUCUGCUGAAGAAACAAGCGACACAUAGCGGUUAAGGCUUUAUUCUCGUGAAUAAAUUAUCAAGCCAGC